UACAGAGGUCUCAAGCGUUUGUUCGGAUUCAUUGGGCGUAAAGGGUGCGUAGGCGGCGCGGUAAGUCGGGUGUGAAAUCUUGGAGCUUAACUCCGAAACUGCAUUCGAUACUGCCGUGCUUGAGGACUGGAGAGGAGACUGGAAUUUACGGUGUAGCGGUGAAAUGCGUAGAUAUCGUAAGGAAGACCAGUGGCGAAGGCGGGGUCUCUGGACAGUUCCUGACGCUGAGGCACGAAGGUCAGGGGGAGCAAACGGGG
rnacentral:rRNA from 1 species